CCCUGCCCUACUUUUCCCACAGAAAACCCAAUGAAGGUUGUGGCCUUGGCCUUCUCUUGCUUCUUUUUGUCUCCUGGCUGACAGUGAUGCUUUCUGCGUGGCAUGCGGUGCCUCUUGUCUCUUGGAAGAUGGUCCACAAGAGGAAACUAAAUCUCCAAGAGGUGAGUGGCUUUUCCAAGGACACACAAUUGCCUGGAGGCAGAACCAGGAUGAAAACCCUCCCAAUAUGCCUCAGGAGGCCUGGAACUGUUAACGGUCAUACCUUCUUGCUCCUGAAUUGUGUCUUUGGAGAAUCAGAGAGCUCUGGCCAAUGUGUGACCAAGACCAGCCAGGCACUCUGGAGACCCAGGCCUGGCUCUUUGUGUAGGGUUUUUUUUUUUUCUUUUGUUUUGUUUUGUUUGUUUUUAAUUUGACAGAGAGGGAGAGAGAGAGAACAAGUAGGCAGAGCAGCAGGUAAAGGGAGAGGGAGAAUCAGGCUCCCUACUGAGCAGGGAGCCCAACUCGGGGCUCGAUCCCAGGACCCCGGACUCAUGACCUGAGCUGAAGGCAGAUGCUUCACUGACUGAGCCACCCCGGCGCUCCUCUCUGUGUAAUAUGGAGGAACUACCAGCUUCUUUGGAUGCCGUCUUCCAGCUCGGUGAAUUAUGGGAGCUGGUCUGGAAUAAUUUUUUUUAAGCAGUGUAACUUGCCAGACAGUCAAGACCCCAAUAUAUAAAACAGACCAUACUCACAAAAUUUACGUUGUUAGCAUUUAGCUGGAAAUUCUUCUUGCUGUACAGAAUUUCGGAGACUCUGCUCCAUAGCCUAAGGCUUCCAGAAGCAGAGUAUGAAAAUGUGUGGUUUAAUUGCUCUCUAAGGACUUUUGGGGCUUUAAAAUUAAAUCCAACAUUUAAUUCAAACAUUUCAUUUGUUCAUCCCACAAAAAUGUCUGAACUGCGUAAGAUUUGCCAGGCGCUGGUCCAGGCACUGGGGCAUCGGAGAUGAGCUAGACCAGGAUCUCUCCACCUCGGCACUAUUGUUACUUGGGGCCAGAUGAUUCUUUGUCUUGUGUUGGGCCU
rnacentral:lncRNA from 1 species